UACGGGGGGGGCAAGCGUUGUUCGGAAUUACUGGGCGUAAAGGGCUCGUAGGCGGCCAACUAAGUCAGACGUGAAAUCCCUCGGCUUAACCGGGGAACUGCGUCUGAUACUGGAUGGCUUGAAUCCGGGAGAGGGAUGCGGAAUUCCAGGUGUAGCGGUGAAAUGCGCAGAUAUCAGGAGGAACACCGGUGGCGAAGGCGGUUCUCUGGGCAUGAUCUGACGCUGAGGAGCGAAAGUGUGGGGAGCGAACAGG
rnacentral:rRNA from 1 species